GACGAACGCUGGCGGCGUGCUUAACACAUGCAAGUCGAACGGAAAGGCCCUGCUUUUGGGGGGGGCUCGAGUGGCGAACGGGUGAGUAACACGUGAGUAACCUGCCCUUGACUUUGGGAUAACUUCAGGAAACUGGGGCUAAUACCGGAUAGGAGCUCCUGCUGCAUGGUGGGGGUUGGAAAGUUUCGGCGGUUGGGGAUGGACUCGCGGCUUAUCAGCUUGUGGGUGGGGUAGUGGCUUACCAAGGCUUUGACGGGUAGCCGGCCUGAGAGGGUGACCGGCCACAUGGGGACUGAGAUACGGCGCAGACGCCUGCGGGAGGCAGCAGUGGGGAAUGUUGCACAAUGGGCGGAAGCCUGAUGCAGCAACGCCGUGUGCGGGAUGACGGGCUUCGGGUUGUAAACCGCUUUCGCCUGUGACGAAGCGUGCGUGACGGAAAUGGGUAAAGAAGCACCGGCUAACUACGUG
rnacentral:rRNA from 1 species